AUUGAACGCUCGCGGCAUGCUUUACACAUGCAAGUCGAACGAGUGGCGGACGGGUGAGUAAUAUCUCGGAACGUGCCCAGUAGCGGGGGAUAACUACUCGAAAGGGUGGCUAAUACCGCAUACUAUUGGAGCUGCCCAUAUGGGAUUGGCUAGUUGGUGGGGUAAAGGCUCACCAAGGCGACGAUCCGUAGCUGGUUUGAGAGGACGACCAGCCACACUGGGACUGAGACACGGCCCAGACGCCUACGGGAGGCAGCAGUGGGGAAUAUUGGAAAAUGGGGGAAACCCUGAUCCAGCCAUCCCGCGUGUAUGAGAAGGCCGUCGGGUUGUAAAGUACUUUUGGCAGAGAGGCGGUAUCUGCAGAAUAAGCACCGGCUAACUACGUGCCAGCAGCCGCGGUAAUUC
rnacentral:rRNA from 1 species